CCUACGGGAGGCAGCAGUGGGGAAUCUUGCGCAAUGGGCGAAAGCCUGACGCAGUAACGCCGCGUGCGGGAAGAAGGCUUUCGGGCUGUAAACCGCUUUCAGCAGGAACGAAAAUGACGGUACCUGCAGAAGAAGGAGCGGCCAACUAUGUGCCAGCAGCCGCGGUGAUACAUAGGCUUCAAGCGUUGUCCGGAUUUAUUGGGCGUAAAGAGUUCGUAGGCGGUCGAGUAAGUCGGGUGUGAAAAUUCUGGGCUCAACCCAGAGACGCCACCCGAUACUGCUUAACUUGAGUUCGAUAGGGGAGUGGGGAAUUCCUAGUGUAGCGGUGAAAUGCGCAGAUAUUAGGAGGAACACCGGUGGCGAAGGCGCCACUCUGGAUCGAUACUGACGCUGAGGAACGAAAGCAUGGGUAGCAAACAGGAUUAGAUACCCUGGUAGUCCAUGCCGUAAACGGUGGGCACUAGGUGUGGGAUUCUAUUAACGAAUUCCGCGCCGUCGCUAACGCAUUAAGUGCCCCGCCUGGGGAUACGGUCGCAAAGCUAAAACUUAAAGGAAUUGACGGCUGAGAGNGCGAGACGACACGAGGAGAGG
rnacentral:rRNA from 1 species